CCUCCCUAGGUGUGUGAUUAAAGGUGUGCAUAGCCACUACCUUGCACAAACAUUUUCUUUUGUGUCCUAAAAAUCACUGUGUAACUGUAUGUACAAGCUCGUCAUGUGGUGUGGAGGGGGAAGAAGAAGCCGAACCUGUGAACGGCAAGAGGAGAGCUGGGUCAUCUCCUGGAGACAGGGUUUGCAGUGACCUAUGAUGAUGUGCACAUCGGCUUCACACAGGAAGAGUGGGAUUUGCUGAAUCCUUCUCAGAAAAUUCUCUACAAAAAUGUGAUGAUGGAGACCUACAGGAACCUCACUGCCAUAGGCUACAGUUGGGAAGACUAUAAUAUUGAAGAACACUGUGAACAUUCUAGAAGACAUAGAAGG